CACCAUCACACCAAUAACAUCACUGGCACCUCUGACAUUUAUUUCUGUAAUUCAUUGCUUGUUUUCAUUUUUUUUUUCAUUUUUGCUUGUGCCUCUAAGUGCCUUUUUCUAACAUGGCGGCAGCGACCAGGCAUCAGCCACACCGGAGCGCGGCCAUCCACGGUGCUAUCAUCUCUCCUCCUCGGCCCAAUCGAGAUAGCUCGAGUUGCACGCUGGGAAGAUUUUAAGCGGGAGCGGGAGGCUCGGAGCCGGCGGGAGUGGUUAGCGCGCUGUCGUCCUGUCGUUGUUGUCGUUCUGAGACGGCCAUUAUAUUUGACUUGUUUGGAUACCACCCGAUCACCAUUGUGUGCUGCCACCACUUGAAGUCUGCAGUAGUUAUUACCGCUUCUACUGGGAACUUGCGCCAUCCUCUGCACCCUCAUGCCUUUGUGCAGCAGAGACCUUUUCGGUGUGUUGCGCGGUCGCUGCAACGAGCCGGGUUGUGAGUGCAAGCGAUACACCAUUCUGCGCCUGUCGGAAAGUGACAACCUGGUGAGGUGUGACUAUUGUGACCACGUCCCAAAUGCACACGGAAAAAUAUGUGAUCUCGAAACGAAAAAUGCAGCCGAGGCAAAGGUGCAAUGCAAUGUGCCAGGCACCGUUGUUCGAGGCCUCAGUGUCACAUGAAACUGUGGAAGCUUGCACAUCUAGUCUCCUCAGUGCAAUAUGAGAGGACUGUCCCAGUUGGUGCCUCCAUAGAAAAUGAAUCGGCCUGAAUGCCUGUGCAAGAAUCACAACCUGGCUGCUCUAAAGACUCCGCACCGUAGUCCCAUGUGCAAGAGCCCCCACUUGACAGCCCAGUGGUUGCCAUGGACAAAGAGAUCCGCGAUACUGAAUGCGGCCAAGCAGUACAAGUUUUUACAUGGACAGUUAACACGAAGUUAUUGACGACAUGCAUGGCUGAAAC